rnacentral:misc_RNA from 1 species
GAGAGAGAGAGGGAGAACGACAGAAUGUGUUUUUCUUUAAUUACCUUUUGAAGACCUAACCUAUAACAUGGGCUGGUCUUUUUAUUCUUUCAACCCAAUGCAUAGUAAGCUUUCAUUUAGGUUUAUGCUCAGAAAACAAUUCAAGAUAGUGGCAGUUGAUUCUGUUACACUAUUUUUUUUAUUCCAAAAUAUUUCUGAUUCUGUUAUUUAAAGCCUUGCAUGUAACCCACUUUUUAAUGUAAGUGCAUGUGUGCAUAGAAAGAGACUCCUUAGACUGUUGUGAUUUUUUGUGUAUGAAACAUAAUUGCAGUUAUUAGGAGUUUGGGUGUUGCAUUUAGACAUUUAUGUACUUGUUUGGAUGUUCUGUGAACUGCUAGUUCUUUCUUCUCUUCUCAUGGAUGGUGAUGUGA